GAUGAACGCUGGCGGCGUGCCUAAUACAUGCAAGUCGAGCGAACGGACGAGAAGCUUGCUUCUCUGAUGUUAGCGGCGGACGGGUGAGUAACACGUGGAUAACCUACCUAUAAGACUGGGAUAACUUCGGGAAACCGUAGCUAAUACCGGAUAAUAUUUUGAACCGCAUGGUUCAAAAGUGAAAGACGGUUUUGCUGUCACUUAUAGAUGGAUCCGCGCUGCAUUAGCUAGUUGGUAAGGUAACGGCUUACCAAGGCGACGAUGCAUAGCCGACCUGAGAGGGUGAUCGGCCACACUGGAACUGAGACACGGUCCAGACUCCUACGGGAGGCAGCAGUAGGGAAUCUUCCGCAAUGGGCGAAAGCCUGACGGAGCAACGCCGCGUGAGUGAUGAAGGUCUUCGGAUCGUAAAACUCUGUUAUUAGGGAAGAACAUAUGUGUAAGUAACUGUGCACAUCUUGACGGUACCUAAUCAGAAAGCCACGGCUAACUACGUG
rnacentral:rRNA from 1 species